UACGUAGGCAGCGAGCGUUGUUCGGAAUUACUGGGCGUAAAGAGUGUGUAGGCGGUGCUCUAAGUUCGGUGUGAAAUCUCCUGGCUUAACUGGGAGGGUGCGCCGGAAACUGGAGUGCUCGAGCGUGGGAGAGGAAAGCGGAAUUCCUGGUGUAGCGGUGAAAUGCGUAGAUAUCAGGAGGAACACCUGCGGUGUAGACGGCUUUCUGGACCAUUGCUGACGCUGAGGAGCGAAAGCAUGGGGAGCGAACAGG
rnacentral:rRNA from 1 species